rnacentral:rRNA from 1 species
GCCAGACUCCUACGGGAGGCAGCAGUGGGGAAUAUUGCACAAUGGGGGGAACCCUGAUGCAGCGACGCCGCGUGGGUGAAGGAGUAUUUCGGUAUGUAAAGCCCUAUCAGCAGGGAAGAACAAUGACGGUACCUGACUAAGAAGCACCGGCUAAAUACGUGCCAGCAGCCGCGGUAAUACGUAUGGUGCAAGCGUUAUCCGGAUUUACUGGGUGUAAAGGGAGCGCAGGCGGCGCGUUAAGCCUGGUGUGAAAGUCCGCGGCCCAACCGCGGGACUGCAUUGGGAACUGGCGCGCUGGAGUGCCGGAGGGGUAGGCGGAAUUCCUGGUGUAGCGGUGAAAUGCGUAGAUAUCAGGAGGAACACCGGUGGCGAAGGCGGCCUGCUGGACUGCGACUGACGUUGAGGCCCGAAAGCGUGGGGAGCAAACAGGAUUAGAUACCCGCGUAUC